rnacentral:rRNA from 1 species
AGAGUUUGAUCCUGGCUCAGGAUGAACGCUGGCGGUGUGCCUAACACAUGCAAGUCGAACGAACCUUUAUUUUUGAGAAUUCCGUGUUACAACGGGGGUCUCAUAAAUAAUGGUUAGUGGCGGACGGGUGAGUAACACGUUAGUACCUACCCUAAAGUGGGGAAUAACCCGGCGAAAGUCGGGCUAAUACCGCAUAUGAUCCUUUUAGGAUUAAAGCCUUCGGGCGCUUUAGGAGGGGCUUGCGUCUGAUUAGCUAGUUGGUAAGGUAAUGGCUUACCAAGGCUACGAUCAGUAGCUGGUUCGAGAGGAUGACCAGCCACACUGGGACUGAGAUACGGCCCAGACUCCUACGGGAGGCAGCAGUGAGGAAUCUUCCGCAAUGGACGAAAGUCUGACGGAGCAACACCGCGUGCAGGAUGACGGCCUUCGGGUUGUAAA